rnacentral:rRNA from 1 species
UACGAAGGGGGCUAGCGUUGCUCGGAAUCACUGGGCGUAAAGGGUGCGUAGGCGGGUUUUUAAGUCAGGGGUGAAAUCCUGGAGCUCAACUCCAGAACUGCCUUUGAUACUGAAGAUCUUGAGUCCGGGAGAGGUGAGUGGAACUGCGAGUGUAGAGGUGAAAUUCGUAGAUAUUGGGAAGAACACCGGUGGCGAAGGCGGCUCACUGGCUCAUUACUGACGCUCAGGCGCGACAGCGUGGGGAUCAAACAGG